UCCAUAUGGAGACGGAUGAGACGGACAAAGAUGUGUGCGAAUGAAUUGCGAGUCCGAAGACUCGAAGUUGCAUUCUUCUCUUUCUUUGUAUCUUUGUCAAUUGUCAGUCUGUUGAGUUGAGUCUGUUACACACCGUUGGUUGGUGAUUGUGCAUCUUUGGGGUGUCGUAGUUUAGUCGUAUAGUUUAAUUCGUUAUCAAAUGCAAUCUACAUUACAUCUAUUUUUUGUCUGCGCAUCAACGAUCGAUACUAACCAAGUUUGAAGUUUUUGAAGGCAGUAUUUUCAUCUCCGAUUCAGAUUACAAAAAGUUGAAGCUCAGAGAAGACAAAAUCAUUGAAGUACGUGCUAUCAGCCCCUAAUAAAUACCAGAUUAAUAAAAUUGGUGAUACAUAAUCCAAAUUUGAUCAUGUCGUCGAAUGAAUCUAGCGUUUCAACGUGCGCAUCCACCGAAGAUUUCUGGUGCAGUACAGCUGAAUUUCACGAAGCAGAGUUUGUUUGGAAAAUAAAUGAUUUCAGUUCUCUCGACGAAACGGGUGAAAUUAUAAUAUCCGAAACAUUCUCAUCUCCUACAAACGAUAAAUUUACAUGGUAUUUGGAUUUUCACUUCAGAGGCAAACACGAGGCAACAGAUGGUUUUCGUUUAUUUUUAAACUUGAAUAAAAAAAGCGCAACAGAAAGAGUAUUAGCAAAAUUCACUUUUUCCAUUUUGAAUAAUGUAAAGGAUGAAGAAAACUAUGCAUCGAAUUUUGAGUGUCAUGAAUUCAGCAACGGUGAUGAUGAUGUUAGAAAUUGGGCAGGUUGGGAUGAGGAUGAUUAUCCCAAAAAAAACGAAACUUUCAGAAGUAAAUUUUUGCAAAAUGAUACGUUAACGAUUUCAUUCAAGAUGAUAUUUUUCGAAAUGAACCGCAAAAAUUUAGGUAGUAUGUUUCACCGUUGUAACACUAUUAAUCUUAAACAACUUUCCGAUAAUUUGGCAUCGGUUCUUGAGAAUCCUAAUUUUGCCGACUUCACGAUUACGGCGAAAGGCAAAACUUAUCAGGUUCACAAAAAUAUUUUAGCUGCACGUAGUACUUAUUUCGCCAAGAUGUUCGAAAGCGGUAUGAAAGAAAAUCAACAAAAUUGUGUAGAAAUUAACGAUGUAAAUGAAGAGAUUAUGGGUGAAAUGUUGAAAUUUAUUUACACCGGAGUAUGUGAAAAUUUGGAUAAAUUAGCCGACGACUUAUUAAUUGCUGCUGACAAGUAUGAUAUAGAUCAUCUGAAGAAGAUUUGCGUGGAGUCAAUUUACACCAAGUCUUUAUGUGUAGAGAAUGCGCUGAAUACAUUGAUAUUGGCGGACCAGUAUAAUGCGAAUAAACUUAAAUCAAAAGCGAUUGACUUUAUCGUAACUAAUUCAUCUGAAAUAAUGGAGUCGGCGACAUGGAAUGAAAUUAUGCCAAUGUAUCCUCAUCUCAUGAAUAGUGUAUGUCAGGCGAUGCGACGGUUCUUCGUAUUACAACUAAGUAAGCGUAAUUCUGCUGAAUGAUGUCUGUAAUUAUUUUACUUACCUACUUAGUUUGUACUCGUAUGUUUUUAUUUUAGUAUUUCUGAAUAGCUUAAAUCUAAUAAUAAAUGAGCUUUGUUCGUUAAUUUGA